rnacentral:misc_RNA from 1 species
CAAACCUCAAGCCUUGCUUGGUGAUGGGCCCCGCCCGUGCGGCGGGCCCGAAACUCGUGGGCGCCCCAGGCCGGACUCCAAGCGUAGCAAAACCCUCGCUUGCGGACGACCGGUCAGAGGCCGCCCCGGACCCCAAUUUUUAUCAAU